ACUCGCAUUCAACCAUAAAUCUGAAACUCUUUCUGAUCCCAACCUUGUUGAGUAAUAGUUAGGUAUUAUAAAUAGUAUAAAGUAAUCCACGGUAAUUGUACUCUAUCCAUUACAGAAAACUAACAAGAAGCCUCAUUCACUCGUGGUGGUAUAAGAAAUCAAAUACUCCUAUAAAAUAUAGUGACAUUAAAACCAAUCUUUACAAAUAUUAUGCAAAAAAUCCUAAUGUCUUUUUCAAGAAGUUUGGAUUUUAGACUUAUGGAAGAGCUGAGAAAGGAAAUGAGAGUAGCAAUUUCACAAAAGACAUAAGUGCAAAGAAAGAAGAAAUAACUUACAAAAAUAGGAACAUAGUGAUAAGAAUAAACUAUUAUUAGUUGGAACAUAAAUGGGUUAGGCUAUGGGAUGAAAAUGAAGAAAACUAAAAAGGUCAUUUCUAAGUUAAGCCUUGAAAGUCUUAAUCCAAUACAAGCGUGUUUAACUAGCAUCCUACUUUAUUAUUUGUCAAUGUUUAGGAUACCAAUAAGAGUAGAGGGAGCUAUAAGGAAGUUUCUAUGGAUAAAAAUAGAGAAGGAACAUAGAGAUCUAGUUAAUUAGAAGUUGUGUUGUCAAUCUAAUAUUUUUGGUGGUUUGGAUAUUGAAAACCUAUGAUUAAAAAAAAAAUUGUCAUUAUUAGUUAAACGAUUAUGACACACAAAAACUUAAUUCAUUAUGGCAAAAAGUGAUUAUAAGUGUUCAUAGAAGUUAAACGAAUAGAUAAGAUGUGAUUGUUAGUAACUCUCUCUAACAAACAAGUCUACAGAAGACUAUCUCUAGUUUGCUACAACUUUUUAACCUUUACUCGUUUUGGAGUGAGAGAUAGCUCCAAAGUUUUAUCAUCUGAGGAUCAAUUAGGAACGAUUGUUCACUCACUAAUCAAUUCUUCCAUCUAUUCCAUGAAAACUCAAGUUAAAGUAAAUGAGUUCAAUGUACACUUCCAUCAGUAUGAGAUAGAAAUUAGAAACUAUGUGAAUUAUGUUUGCACAAGAGCAAAUGAAUAAAUGUGAUAAAGAAUAGGGAGAGGGUGAUAAAGAAUUUCCUGGUUGAGCUCAAGUUUAACUCCUAGGGAUUAUUUAGUUUAAGGAAGGUAUAUUGGUUUUUGAAUUUUGAGGGGAAUGAUCUAGGUAUUGAGAAUCUUCAUCGCAAGAACCUAUCUUAGUGGCUAAAUGAUGAUGGUGGUUUACUAUGGAAGUCAAUUCUUUAUUGUAUAGUAUGAUUAAAAGUCACAUAACUUAUAUCGAGAAUGACUUUUGAAUAUUAAAUUAGUAUUAUUGAUUUUGCACAUUACAUUAAAAGCUAUUUUUAGUGUAAUUUUUAUCUGUUUGUAUCUUGUGUACUUUGUUUAAUUGUCAUCCGUUUUUUAAUUAUGUGUACAAAUGGAUUAAUAGGUGCAUAGUUUUUCAAAAGUAAUUCUCAGUAUAAUGUACACACAUGUCUAUCUCGUGUAUUUCAUCCAAAGGUCAUCUGUUUUACAAUAUACAUGUGGGAUGAGAUAAUAAUUAAUUUUUUUUGUCUAAUAAUAUUUUCUCUUCCAUGAAAAAAGAAAGUAACUAAAUUUAUUAGCGAGUGAGCAUAAUAUAUAUUAAAUCACAAAAUUCAGGAGAUAAUGAUAUAAGUUCCUGUAGUUUUGAUUAGAAAUACAAGAAUUACUUGGUCUGAAUUUUUUUUCAAUUAGGUAUAUUUAGAAUGGAAUACUUUCUCCUAUUUGAUUUGCAUGUGCCUGCACUGCACGAGAUCUAGAUCAUACUGACAUCGAUUUGGACUAUAUAUUACUAAUUUAUUGUAUAUUACUAUUUAGUAUUUAGAUAGUUAUGACUAAUAAGAAAUACUAACCAUUAAAAUUAUUGUUAUUCUAAAAUCUGUCAAAUAUUUGCUCAAACGUAGAGGGAUGUGCCUUUGUAUACCAACAAAACUAUGCAAAAUAUCUUCUAUUUAGUUAGUAGUAGUCUGUCCCACUUAAUUUACAAGUGAAACUUGAGUCGGUACUUAAAUUUAUUCAUCAAGUUUUACCCAUAUUUUUUACGUCCCAUCUGAUGUUAAUUUUUGUAUGCUAAUUGUUAGUAGAAAGACAAACUUUUCUUGAAACUAUAUAUAUUUCACUUGUUUUAGUGACACACUUAUGAACAUUACUAAUCAGAACUACGACAACAAACAGUUUUUUAUGAGAGUUUCAGAUAAUUUCUUUAUCGAAAGGAGAAAAUGUUAACCAGCCGCACAAGAUCUAAAACUAAGAAUCUUUAAAUCUGAAAUGAUAUUAGACUGCCAAGUACUAUCCUAUGCUUUUGUCUAUCUAUGGUCCAAAAAUAGAAGACCUAAAUUGAGAUAGGAAUAUGAUAUGCAUGGUUAGUUGGGGAUAGAUAACUAGAUUAUACCUAAUGAGAGGAUGCUCCUUCGGUAAAAUACAAAAACUCUAAAAUUAAAAAUCAGUUAGUUUAGGAGUUUAGAUACAAAAUUCUCAUAAACCUUCUUAUUUCUUUCUCCGCCAUAUGAUCAAAAAGAAAAAAAUAAAAAAAAUAAAAGGAAUGCUUUCCUGAUGCAAAUAAUACGGAACAAAAAAAAAGCUAGGGCCAAACAAAACCAAGAGAAUUUGAAAGAGAAGAAGCAAUAAAUUUUCUAUAAUAGAAAAUGAAAGUACGAGAAGAGGAAAAAAUGAAAGAGGUAGAGAGUAUAAGACUGGACUGAUUAAUAAAGAAAGAAACGAAAGUGCUGGGAACAAUAAUUUCUUUACACCAGUAAUGGGUUGGUUAAGACUAGCUAGAUACAGCCCCCCCAAAAGCAAAAGGUCACUGUCUUCUUUCUUUCCCUGUCUUGUGCAGAAAAAAAAAAUGGUACAAAAAAAAUUGCAGUAGCCUUGUAGUGCUCUCUUUAGUCAUUCAUCCUCUAGUUAGGUGUUUUCCACUUUUACAAUAUUAGUCCAACCACUCAAAGACAAACCAAUUCACUUUGCCGGCCAGAAACUUCACCAUCCGCCAUUACUGCUGCCUUUUCAAGCUCUGUAAUCUGCCCCACUUUACACUGUUUCCCUCUCUAGGGUUUUUCAGCCAGUAGUUUUGUGAAGACCCACCUUGAUCCCCUUCUCUAGGGUUAAUUCUUUUCUUCACCAAAUAUCUCAGUAUGGUUUAACAGGUGGAUAUAUCAUGAAAAGAACUAUCAGAAAUCCAGAGUCUCAACCACUCUGCAGGUUAUUUUUUUUCUUGGAUCUCCCUCUUAGGGCACACAGUGGAGUAAUGACAUGUCAAGAUCUCAUUGCUAUCUCAUCAUAUAAACUUUUGAGAUGGAUAGAGAGGGAAAACAACAGCGAAACGGAGAAAAGCAAAGAAUACCAGGAUUUCACUGUUAAAAAAUCCAGAAAUCGAAAGAAGAGAAUAAUUAGAGGAGUGGCAAGAGAGCAGGUUCGCCCUUACGUCUCCCUUCCUGCCAGCCUCCCUGAAUUUGUUUCUCAUCCCAACUUGAAAAAUGGGGAAUCUCCAUUUUCCCACGGGAAUUCUUAUUUGUCUAUUUUAUUCUAGAAGAAACAAUUUAAUUAAAAGUAUGUUUUUUCUAUACAAACAAAAAAAAAAAAAAAAACUAUUUCAAAAAAA